rnacentral:rRNA from 1 species
UAUGCUUGUCUCAAAGAUUAAGCCAUGCAUGUCUAAGUCCAAGCUGUGUUCACACGGCGAGACCGCGGACGGCUCAUUAAAUCAGUCGUGGUCCAAAUGGGCCAGUGCAAAUCCUACUUGGAUAACUGUGGUAAUUCCAGAGCUAAUACAUGCAACUGAUAUCCCGAAGGCGGUGUUUGGGCUUGCUUGCCUUGCGCUGCGCUGCUCUGACGGAUGCUUUUAUUAGACCAAGCCGCUGAGGACUUGAGGGUUCGCGCUCUCUUGUCUGACUCGUGUGAUGGUGACUCUGGAUAACCAAAUUCUGACAAGCGCACGUACUUCUCUUCUGAGCGAGACGGCGCUGCCACUUUCGAGUGUCUGCCUUAUCAGCUAUCAACCGUUCGUUAUGCGCGACCGAUGGCUUUGACGGGUAACGGGGAAUCAGGGUUCGAUUCCGGAGAGGCAGCCUGAGAGACGGCUACCACGUCCAAGGACGGCAGCAGGCACGCAAAUUACCCAAUCCCAGCAAAUGGGGGAGGUAGUGACGAAAUCUAACGAUGCGGGCGCCCUUUCUGGGGCCCCGCAAUCGGAAUGGGCACUUUCUAAACAACCUGUUGAGAACCUACUGAA